UGAUCCUGGCUCAGGACGAACGCUGGCGGCGUGCUUAACACAUGCAAGUCGAACGAUGAAGCCUAGCUUGCUAGGUGGAAGAGUGGCGAACGGGUGAGUAACACGUGAGCAACCUGCCCUUCACUCUGGGAUAAGCACUGGAAACGGUGUCUAAUACUGGAUAUGUCCCAUCACCGCAUGGUGUGUGGGUGGAAAGAUUUAUCGGUGAAGGAUGGGCUCGCGGCCUAUCAGCUUGUUGGUGAGGUAGUGGCUCACCAAGGCGACGACGGGUAGCCGGCCUGAGAGGGUGACCGGCCACACUGGGACUGAGACACGGCCCAGACUCCUACGGGAGGCAGCAGUGGGGAAUAUUGCACAAUGGGCGCAAGCCUGAUGCAGCAACGCCGCGUGAGGGAUGACGGCCUUCGGGUUGUAAACCUCUUUUAGUAGGGAAGAAGCGCAAGUGACGGUACCUGCAGAAAAAGCACCGGCUAACUACGUGCCAGCAGCCGCGGUAAUACGUAGGGUGCAAGCGUUGUCCGGAAUUAUUGGGCGUAAAGAGCUCGUAGGCGGCUUGUCGCGUCUGCUGUGAAAACCCGAGGCUCAACCUCGGGCCUGCAGUGGGUACGGGCAGGCUAGAGUGCGGUAGGGGAGAUUGGAAUUCCUGGUGUAGCGGUGGAAUGCGCAGAUAUCAGGAGGAACACCGAUGGCGAAGGCAGAUCUCUGGGCCGUAACUGACGCUGAGGAGCGAAAGCAUGGGGAGCGAACAGGAUUAGAUACCCUGGUAGUCCAUGCCGUAAACGUUGGGAACUAGAUGUAGGGCCUGUUCCACGGGUUCUGUGUCGUAGCUAACGCAUUAAGUUCCCCGCCUGGGGAGUACGGCCGCAAGGCUAAAACUCAAAGGAAUUGACGGGGGCCCGCACAAGCGGCGGAGCAUGCGGAUUAAUUCGAUGCAACGCGAAGAACCUUACCAAGGCUUGACAUAUACGAGAACGGGCGAGAGAUCGUCAACUCUUUGGACACUCGUAAACAGGUGGUGCAUGGUUGUCGUCAGCUCGUGUCGUGAGAUGUUCGGUUAAGUCCGGCAACGAGCGCAACCCUCGUCCUAUGUUGCCAGCACGUUAUGGUGGGAACUCAUGGGAUACUGCCGUGGUCAACACGGAGGAAGGUGGGGAUGACGUCAAAUCAUCAUGCCCCUUAUGUCUUGGGCUUCACGCAUGCUACAAUGGCCGAUACAAAGGGCUGCGAUACCGCGAGGUGGAGCGAAUCCCAAAAAGUCGGUCUCAGUUCGGAUUGGGGUCUGCAACUCGACCCCAUGAAGUCGGAGUCGCUAGUAAUCGCAGAUCAGCAACGCUGCGGUGAAUACGUUCCCGGGCCUUGUACACACCGCCCGUCAAGUCAUGAAAGUCGGUAACACCCGAAGCCGGUGGCCUAACCCUUGUGGAGGGAGCCGUCGAAGGUGGGACUGGUGAUUAGGACUAAGUCGUAACAAGGUAGCCGUACCGGAAGGUGCGGCUGGAUCACCUCCUUU
rnacentral:rRNA from 1 species